AGAGGCUGGGGGACUCUGUCCGGUUAGGACAGUUUGCCUCCAGCUCUGUGGAUGAAAGAGUGGCUCGCAGGGGAGAAGAGACGUGGCUGUGUGUCCUCAAGAGCAGGGCAGCCAGAGUCGUUCUCCACAGAGGCUUUGGCUCUGCAAUCAGGGAAGACGCUGCUCUUGGCCCCUGGGGAGUUGCAGCUCUCCAGAGCUGGACCCUGAAACCUCUUAGGAAGCUUGGGAACUGAUGACCUUACGAUGAAGAAGGGGCUUUGAACGGCCUCAGGAAGCAGGAAUGUGGUUCUGGUUCCAGUCCUAGGGGCCACCUCUCCAACCAGAGCUGGAGACCUGAGGCCAUGGCAGGGUUGAGGGAACCCCACUGUGUGGCGGGGACUUCCUAGGACAUGCAAGGUAAAGACUGGAUGGCUACUCAAUUAAACAGAGUUGCGGUGUAG
rnacentral:lncRNA from 1 species